AUUGAACGCUGGCGGCAGGCCUAACACAUGCAAGUCGGGCGGAUGAAGGGAGCUUGCUCCUGGAUUCAGCGGCGGACGGGUGAGUAAUGCCUAGGAAUCUGCCUGGUAGUGGGGGAUAACGUCCGGAAACGGGCGCUAAUACCGCAUACGUCCUGAGGGAGAAAGUGGGGGAUCUUCGGGCCUCACGCUAUCAGAUGAGCCUAGGUCGGAUUAGCUAGUUGGUGGGGUAAAGGCCUACCAAGGCGACGAUCCGUAACUGGUCUGAGAGGAUGAUCAGUCACACUGGAACUGAGACACGGUCCAGACUCCUACGGGAGGCAGCAGUGGGGAAUAUUGGACAAUGGGCGAAAGCCUGAUCCAGCCAUGCCGCGUGUGUGAAGAAGGUCUUCGGAUUGUAAAGCACUUUAAGUUGGGAGGAAGGGCAGUAAGUUAAUACCUUGCUGUUUUGACGUUACCAACAGAAUAAGCACCGGCUAACUUCGUG
rnacentral:rRNA from 1 species